AGUGAACGCUGGCGGCGUGCUUAACACAUGCAAGUCGAACGAGAACGGGCUAUAGCUUGCUAUAGUUGUCAGCUAAGUGGCGCACGGGUGAGUAAUGUAUAGGUAAUAUGCCUCUUACUAAGGGAUAACAAAUGGAAACGUUUGCUAAUACCUUAUACUCCUUAUUAACAGAAGUUAAUAAGGGAAAGAUUUAUUGGUAAGAGAUUAGCCUGUAUUGUAUCAGUUAGUUGGUGGGGUAAUGGCUUACCAAGACUAUGACACAUAACUGGUUUGAGAGGAUGAUCAGUCACACUGGAACUGAGACACGGUCCAGACUCCUACGGGAGGCAGCAGUGGGGAAUAUUGCACAAUGGACGAAAGUCUGAUGCAGCAACGCCGCGUGGAGGAUGACACAUUUCGGUGCGUAAACUCCUUUUAUAUGAGAAGAUAAUGACGGUAUUAUAUGAAUAAGCACCGGCUAACUCCGUGCCAGCCGCCGCCGUAA
rnacentral:rRNA from 1 species